rnacentral:misc_RNA from 1 species
GGAGGGAUCAUUAAUGACGUUGUUGUUGGUUAGUUCGCGCUAACCCGCACGUUUGUCAUUCUUUUUCCAUUUCCAACAAUUAACGUGAACCGAGAAGAAGGAACCGCUUGAUGAUUGAGGAAAAUUGGCUUUUAUUAUGCUGGGUUGCCGUGUGGCUCCUUUUCGUCCAUCGUUACUUGUAACGAAUAGGCAUGUGGGAUAGCCGGUGAUUUUGGCUUAGCUAAGAAGUACGCUUAUCUUCGGACAAAUUCCGGACUCUAACCUCCCUGACCGCAAAGUGCCCUUAGUCUUACAUACCCUGUCAAAGUGAAUCUUAGUACGUUGUCUUUGGAUGGGCAGUGCCGACGACGAGAGUUGUUUGCAUGAACUGCCAACCUCCUUUCAUCCAGCACGUACGCCUUAUGAGAAAGGGAUAGUAGCUAAGUGAGUGUUCAAUCGCUAGGCCUUGCUGUGUUGGGUUAUUUGUAUGUUCGUUCUAUCACUUUGGGAACAUUACCCCCUUUUUUUCUCUGUAUCAUUGACCAUCAAUGUACAUUUCCUUCCGGCGCAAUGUGCCUUUGUUGCACUGUUGCGUUGUUUGGUUUUCACCCCAUUUUUUCUUCUGACGAAUGAUUGGGUACAUGCUGAUGAUGAACAAUCAUUGGUGUAGUGCCAAAAACUAAGACAAAGUGGAAUGGUUCCAUCAAUAAUUUCGUUGAUUGGACCCCCAUGCACAACUCUUAGCAAUGGAUAUCUAGGUUCUCUAGACGAUGAAGAGCGCAGCGAAAUGCGAUAUGUAAUGCGAAUUGCAGAAUUCAGUGAAUCAUCCAAUUCUUGAACGCAAAUGGCGCUUUUGGGAUAGACCUAAAAGCACGCCUCUCUCAGUAUCGGCAAUCAUACCACCUCAAGCAGCGUUGUUGGUUGACACACCAGUGGUGUCAGCAGGCGGCGUUGGUUGGAAAAUGAGUAUCUCGCUUUGUUGCAACUUUUUUGGUGCUGACGACGCGAGUUGCUUGAAAUGCAUUGAGCUGCCUGUCUAUGGAUGCGACUGUCUCCCUUUCUGAGGAAUUGGAGGUAGGUACAACCGUGGUUGUGACGUGUCGUCGGCAGAUGAUUGGAAACGUGGUUCAAUUCACCUAUCUUAGGAUAGUGUGAAUCCUCUUUCCGCUGUCAUCGGUUGGUGUCAGUCGCGGCCUUUCGUCCAUGGACACAGUGAUGGCUGUUGGUGUUGGGCGUUGAUUCGUCUUUCACCUAUGAUCAACAUGUACCUUUGUAUGUGUUGUGUGAUUUUUCAUUCUAGAUCUGAGAUGAAGCGAGAGGACCCCCUGAAUUUGAGCAUAUUAAUAAGGGGAGGAAAAGAAACUAACAAGGAUUCCCUCAGUAACGGCGAGUGAAGCGGGAGAAGCUCAACUUGAAAAUCAUGGAUUGUCGCCAGUCCUAUGAAUUGUGAGCUAUAGACGUGCUAUCAGCGUGUGACCCAGGUCCAAGUCCUUUGGAACAAGGUAUCAUAGAGGGUGAGAAUCCCGUCUAUUGGCUUGGUGUUUUUUGCCGCGUACGAUGCAUGCUCAUCGAGUCGAGUUGUUUGGGAUUGCAGCUCUAAAUGGGUGGUAAGUUUCAUCUAAAGCUAAAUACCUUAGAGAAACCGAUAGCGAACAAGUACCGUGAGGGAAAGAUGAAAAGAACUUUGAAAAGAGAGUUAAACAGUACUUGAAAUUGCUAAGAGGGAAGCGCUAGAAAUCAGUGAUUCUUGCCUGCAUUUUGCCCGUUGUAUCGGUGGGUUGGCCGGGGGUUGACGUUGGCAACUCGUCAUUUCUUUGGUCAAUCUAUUGGUCGAUGGUUCCUGUGUGGGUGUAGAGGUCAAGAUGAGUUGAGAGCAUAGGAGAAAGCGUAUGGGAAGGUAGGACGUUCAGCAAUGGGCGUCUGUUAUAGCCUGUAUGUGCUACUAUGUUUUCGACUGAGGAAUGAAACAGUGCGCCACUAGGCUUAGUGCGCUGCUCCUCUUGGUUUCCGUCUGCUUGGAUGACAAUGUCAUGCUGUGGACGUCGGCCUUGACUGGGUGGACUCGCUAGAUGCACUUUCGCGAUCUUGACAACAAAUGGUUUCUAUCGACCCGUCUUGAAACACGGACCAAGGAGUCUAACAUAUAUGCAAGUAGUUGGGUGGUAAACCCUGGUGCGCAAUGAAAGUGAAGGCAGCCUUGUGUUGCUUAGGUAGGAAUCCCUUUCCGGGGAGGCACUAUCGACCGACCCUCACUUGUGAUGCGGUUUGAGUAAGAGCAUAUCUGUUGGGACCCGAAAGAUGGUGAUCUAUGCCUGAACAGGGUGAAGCCAGGGGAAACUCUGGUGGAGGCUCGUAGCGAUACUGACGUGCAAAUCGUUCGUCUGAUUUGGGUAUAGGGGCGAAAGACUAAUCGAACCAUUUAGUAGCUGGUUCCCUC